AAACUGGGUUCGACUGCUGAUGCUGUAUGCUUCCAUUGUGGUGAGAAUGGACAUUGGAAGAGGAAUUGCAAGAAAUAUUUGGAGGAUCUGAAGAAAAAGGGAAGUGAGACUUCCGAUUCAGGGACUAAAACGAAGUAGAACACUUGCAAAAGGUGAAGUGGAACUACGAGUUGGAAAUGGAGCAAGAGUUGCUGCAUUAGCCGUAGGAACAUAUGAUGUAGCUUUACCUUCUGGCAUGAUUUUAGAAUUGAAUAAUUGCUACUAUGUACCUGCUAUACGCAGGAAUAUUAUUUUUGUUUCUUGUUUGGACAAGGAAGGUUUCUAUUUUGAUAUAAAGAACAAUAGUUGUUCGUUUUA